UAAGAGUUUGAUCAUGGCUCAGAUUGAACGCUAGCGGCAAGCUUAACACAUGCAAGUCGAGCGGCAUCGAGAAAUUAAUAAAUCAUUUCUCUUUUACAUAAAAAGAGAAUUAUAUUUUUUUCGUCGGCGAGCGGCGAACGGGUGAGUAAUAUCUAGGGAUCUACCUUAUUGGAGUGGGAUAACUAUUAGAAAUGAUAGCUAAUACCGCAUAAUAUCUAAGGAUUAAAGUAGGGGAUCUUCUUAAGACCUUAUGCCAUAAGAUGAACUUGGACGAGAUUAGCUAGUAGGUGAGGUAAAGGCUCACCUAGGCAAUGAUCUCUAGCUGAUCUGAGAGGAUGUUCAGCCACACUGGAAUUGAGAUACGGUCCAGACUCCUACGGGAGGCAGCAGUGGGGAAUUUUGCACAAUGGGCGAAAGCCUGAUGCAGCUAUGCCGCGUGUAUGAUUAAGGUUUUAGGACUGUAAAAUACUUUCAAUAAGGAAGAAGUUUGAAAUUCUAAUUAAAAUUUCAAAUUGACGUUACUUAUAAAAGAAGUACCGGCUAAUUCCGUGCCAGCAGCCGCGGUAAUACGGGAGGUACAAGCGUUAAUCGGAAUUACUGGGCGUAAAGGGCGCGUAGAUUGUUUAUUAAGUCAAAUGUGAAAUCCCUAAGCUUAACUUAGGAACUGCGUUUGAAACUAAUAAUCUAGAGUUUCAUAGAGGGAGGUAGAAUUCCAGGUGUAGCGGUGAAAUGCGUAGAUAUCUGGAGGAAUACCAGUGGCGAAAGCGGCCUCCUGGGUGAAAACUGACAUUGAGGCGCGAAAGCUUGGGUAGCAAACAGGAUUAGAUACCCUGGUAGUCCAUGCUGUAAACUAUGUCAACUAGAAAGUUGUAUUUAUAUAAUUUUCGUAGCUAACGCGUUAAGUUGACCGCCUGGGGAGUACGGUCGCAAGGCUAAAACUCAAAUGAAUUGACGGGGGCCCGCACAAGCGGUGGAGCAUGUGGUUUAAUUCGAUGCAACGCGAAAAACCUUACCUGGUCUUGACAUCCAUAGAAGUUUUCAGAAAUGAUAAUGUGCCUUUAUAGGAAUUAUGAGACAGGUGCUGCAUGGCUGUCGUCAGCUCGUGUUGUGAAAUGUUGGGUUAAGUCUCGCAACGAGCGCAACCCUUAUUCUUUGUUGCCAUCAGUUAAAGCUGGGAACUCAAAGAAAACUGCUAAUGAUAAAUUGGAGGAAGGUGAGGAUAACGUCAAGUCAUCAUGGCCCUUAAGACCAGGGCUACACACGUGCUACAAUGACAUAUACAAAGAGCAGCUAUCUUGUAAAAGAAUGCUAAUCUCAUCAAAGUAUGUCUAAGUUCGGACUGAAGUCUGCAACUCGACUUCACGAAGUAGGAAUCGCUAGUAAUCGUGGAUCAGCAUGCCACGGUGAAUACGUUCUCGGGCCUUGUACACACCGCCCGUCACACCAUGGAAGUAGUUUACAAAAGAAGUAAAUUAGUUUAACCGAAAGGAAAACAUUUACCACUUUGUGAAUUAUAACUGGGGUGAAGUCGUAACAAGGUAACCGUAGGGGAACCUGCGGUUGGAUUACCU
rnacentral:rRNA from 1 species